UUUGAAGUCAGUCUAAACUCAUGUAACUUUUUACAUCAUGGCUGAAAUACUUUGGACAUUAUUUGGUAGACAGUUUAUGACUGGAGAAUAUUAGGCCAACCAUAUUUUUGGUUUCUUCCAUGGCUAAAGUUUGGAACUAUCACUGAGAGACUCCCCUAAAGCUCUAACUCUGUACCCUCACUCUUACUACAUCAUCUUGAAACACUUCUAGACUGAAAGCUCAUUAGCACCUGGUUAGUCCUUAUCUUGUCUCUGUUCCCAGAUGCUCACCUGAGAAAAUGGAUGCUUUUGAAUUUCCUUAAUGUCUUUGGCCUGUGUUAAAGCCAGUAGUAACUGAGGUUAGUGUUUCCUGGGGUGUGUAGUUUCUCUUGUUGCCCUCGACACUUUCCUUUCACGUGUAGUUCUCUUAGUACUUUGUGUUCUUCUUAUUGUCGGUUUACCCACUCCCCCCUUCAGGAAUGUUGGUGACAAGUGAGGACACAGACAAUGGUUGAAGAAAGUUGAGUCUUUCCAGACCAGAUGACUUAGUUUUUGCCAUCUAGGGAAAAAUUCAACCCAAUGAAAGGUCCAUUUGGUAUUUGUAUAAGCCAGGGAAGACACUGGACCAAGGCCUGGUCCAGGUCAGGUCUUUGAGCUCUGUUACAGUCCUCCUGG